GACGAACGCUGGCGGCGUGCCUAAUACAUGCAAGUAGAACGCUGAAGGAGGAGCUUGCUUCUCUGGAUGAGUUGCGAACGGGUGAGUAACGCGUAGGUAACCUGCCUGGUAGCGGGGGAUAACUAUUGGAAACGAUAGCUAAUACCGCAUAAUAGUAGAUGUUGCAUGACAUUUGCUUAAAAGGUGCAAUUGCAUCACUACCAGAUGGACCUGCGUUGUAUUAGCUAGUUGGUGAGGUAACGGCUCACCAAGGCAACGAUACAUAGCCGACCUGAGAGGGUGAGCGGCCAACCUGGGACUGAGACACGGCCCAGAAUCCUACGGGAGGCAGCAGUAGGGAAUCUUCGGCAAUGCACGGAAGUCUGACCGAGCAACGCCGCGUGAGUGAAGAAGGUUUUCGGAUCGUAAAGCUCUGUUGUAAGAGAAGAACGAGUGUGAGAGUGGAAAGUUCACACUGUGACGGUAUCUUACCAGAAAGGGACGGCUAACUACGUG
rnacentral:rRNA from 1 species